GUGAAUCAUCGAAUCUUUGAACGCAAAUUGCACUCCCUGGUAUUCCGGGGAGUAUGCCUGUUUGAGGGUCGUUAGAAUAAAAAAUCGGGGCGUCGCGCUUUUUUUGAAGGGUGAUCGCGUCGGAAUUGAGACGUCUUUAAAUGGUAAUUGAUGUAAAAUUUGUCUUAUAUUUCAUACAUCCGGUACGAUUAAUGCGUAUUAAAGAUCAG
rnacentral:misc_RNA from 1 species